rnacentral:rRNA from 1 species
GGAAGUAAAAGUCGUAACAAGGUUUCCGUAGGUGAACCUGCGGAAGGAUCAUUAACGAAUUUGGCGUAAGCCAUUCUAAUCCAUUACACCUGUGAAUUUUUAAAAACUAUUUGCUUUGGCCUUAAUUGGCCAAAGGUUAAAAAAACACCUAUUUAAACCUGAGUCUGAAAAUUGAAAAUUUAAUAAAUCAAAACUUUCAACAACGGAUCUCUUGGUUCUCGCAUCGAUGAAGAACGCAGCGAAUUGCGAUAAGUAAUGUGAAUUGCAGAAUUUUGUGAAUCAUCGAAUCUUUGAACGCACAUUGCACCCUUUGGUAUUCCAAAGGGUAUACCUGUUUGAGCGUCAUUUCUCUCUUAAACUCUCGGGUUUAGUGUUGAACUGGUUUAUAUAAACAGUUUGAAAUGAAAUGGCAAGGCGAAUUCUCCUAGCAUUACAGUGUCUUAGGUUUUACCAACUACGCUGGACUUGCAAUUGAAUUAUGCCGGGCGGUAUAAACUUUUUUUUUAAGUUUGACCUCAAAUCAGGUAAGAUUACCCGCUGAACUUAAGCAUAUCAAUAAGCGGAGG